UACGUAGGGACCAAGCGUUGUUCGGAUUUACUGGGCGUAAAGGGCGCGCAGGCGGCUUUGUUUGUCAGGCGUGAAAGCCCCGGGCUUAACCUGGGAACUGCGUUUGAUACGGCAGGGCUAGAGUUCGGGAGAGGAGAGUGGAAUUCCAGGUGUAGCGGUGAAAUGCGUAGAUAUCUGGAGGAACACCGGUGGCGAAGGCGGCAUCCUGGACCGGUAUUGACGCUGAGGCGCGAAAGCUAGGGGAGCAAACGGG
rnacentral:rRNA from 1 species